rnacentral:rRNA from 1 species
GAUGAACGCUGGCGGCGUGCUUAACACAUGCAAGUCGAACGGUGAAGGCGGAGCUUGCUCUGCUGGAUCAGUGGCGAACGGGUGAGCAACACGUGAGCAAUCUGCCCCUGACUCUGGGAUAAGCGCUGGAAACGGCGUCUAAUACUGGAUACGAGCUGCGAAGGCAUCUUCAGCAGCUGGAAAGAAUUUCGGUCAGGGAUGAGCUCGCGGCCUAUCAGCUUGUUGGUGAGGUAAUGGCUCACCAAGGCGUCGACGGGUAGCCGGCCUGAGAGGGUGACCGGCCACACUGGGACUGAGACACGGCCCAGACUCCUACGGGAGGCAGCAGUGGGGAAUAUUGCACAAUGGGCGAAAGCCUGAUGCAGCAACGCCGCGUGAGGGACGACGGCCUUCGGGUUGUAAACCUCUUUUAGCAGGGAAGAAGCGAAAGUGACGGUACCUGCAGAAAAAGCGCCGGCUAACUACGUG